ensembl:lncRNA
CUCAGAUAGUAAAGAAUCUGCCUGCAAUGCAGGAGACCCAGGUUUGAUCCCUGGAUCAGGAAGAUCCCCUGGAGAAGGGAAUGACUACCCACUCCAGUAUUCUUGCCUAGAGAAUUCCAUGGACAAGAAGCCUGGUGGACUACAGUCCAUGGGAUUGCGAAGAGUUGGACACAACUGAGUGACUAACACUUUCAACCUACCAGAAGCAGGACCCUGAAGAAAAAGUUGGUAAGAUGUAACCCACAUAUUUAAAAGGACAAAAACAAUUACAAUGCAAUAGAAUUGCAGUAGUAAAAGUAAGUAUAAAAUGCUGCAGGAAUAGAGGGUUAUCUUUGCUGGAUCCAGGAAUGGCUCUAAACAAUUGCUGGGAGCCUUGAAAGAAUAGCUAGAGGUAGAGAAAAGAGGAAAGACCUUGUAGACACAGGAGACAACAAAAAGCAGGAAGAAGCAUCCUGCAGAGACUGGAAAAUAGGUUUCUGAUCUCAGCCAAUGGCAUAGAUUUUACACACUUUUUCUGGGUGAAAUGUCCGAAGUUCCAACUAUCACUCUGAAGCUGGUGACCUACACACAAGUCUAUGUGUGUGCAUACUCUCGUAUGUGCAACCAAUUUAAUUUCUAAGCUUCAGAGCCACACAGGAUUUCAAGAAGAAGAACUGAAACAUGCUCUUGAGGCAUCUUGAGGCUUAAUAGUGCCACUGCUUCAUUCCAUAGGCCAAGAAUGUCACAAGGCCACUUCAGAUUUAAGGAAUGGAGAAACCGUCUCCAACUUUUGAUGGGAGGAACGGCAGGGUCACAACUCAAAGAGUAUGGAUUCAAGGAGGAUUGAAAGGUUGUGGCCAUUUUUUAAUCCACCACAGUAUGUACUCCGUGACUGUAAUUGUUCGCAUUCCUUCCACAGGCAAAGUAUGCUUACCUCCAUUUCAGAACCCCUAAAGUCUCUUGCUGUUACGUCAUCAGGCUGGAAGUCUAGGAUCUUAUCAUCUACAUCAGGUCUUUACAAAGUGUGUUACAGCCACACCUUUGGUGUGAUUCACACCUCCAGGCUCUAUUUCCCCAUAAGAAUUCUUCACUGGCUAGAGAGCCUCAAGAUGAAGUUUUAUUUUUUAACGUGUUCUGAAGUUUGGACUGGGAUCAGCAGGCUGGUUCUUCUGGUCUUAGUUGGGUUCACUUAUCAGAUGGAGGUCAGCUGCCAAGUCAAGUUGCCUGGGCGCUGCUUAGCUCAC